UACGGAGGGUGCAAGCGUUAAUCGGAAUCACUGGGCGUAAAGCGCACGUAGGCGGCUUGGUAAGUCAGGGGUGAAAGCCCACAGCUCAACUGUGGAACUGCCUUUGAUACUGCCAGGCUUGAGUACCGGAGAGGGUGGCGGAAUUCCAGGUGUAGGAGUGAAAUCCGUAGAUAUCUGGAGGAACACCGGUGGCGAAGGCGGCCACCUGGACGGUAACUGACGCUGAGGUGCGAAAGCGUGGGUAGCAAACAGG
rnacentral:rRNA from 1 species